AAACGACUCUCGACAACGGAUAUCUCGGCUCACGCAUCGAUGAAGAACGUAGCAAAAUGCGAUACUUGGUGUGAAUUGCAGAAUCCCGUGAACCAUCGAGUUUUUGAACGCAAGUUGCGCCCGAAGCCUUUUGGCCGAGGGCACGUCUGCCUGGGCGUCACAU
rnacentral:rRNA from 1 species